AGAGUUUGAUCCUGGCUCAGAACGACGCUGGCGGCAUGCCUAACACAUGCAAGUCGAACGAGACCUUCGGGUCUAGUGGCGCACGGGUGCGUAACGCGUGGGAACCUGCCUUAGGUUCGGAAUAACUCAGAGAAAUUUGAGCUAAUACCGGAUAAUGUCUUCGGACCAAAGAUUUAUCGCCUUUAGAUGGGCCCGCGUUGGAUUAGCUAGUUGGUGGGGUAAAGGCCUACCAAGGCGACGAUCCAUAGCUGGUCUGAGAGGAUGAUCAGCCACACUGGGACUGAGACACGGCCCAGACUCCUACGGGAGGCAGCAGUGGGGAAUAUUGGACAAUGGGCGAAAGCCUGAUCCAGCAAUGCCGCGUGAGUGAUGAAGGCCUUAGGGUUGUAAAGCUCUUUACCCGAGAUGAUAAUGACAGUAUCGGGAGAAUAAGCUCCGGCUAACUCCGUG
rnacentral:rRNA from 1 species